rnacentral:rRNA from 1 species
UACGUAGGGAGCAAGCGUUGUCCGGAAUUAUUGGGCGUAAAGAGCUCGUAGGCGGCCAACUAAGUCAGACGUGAAAUCCCUCGGCUUAACCGGGGAACUGCGUCUGAUACUGGAUGGCUUGAGUUUGGGAGAGGGAUGCGGAAUUCCAGGUGUAGCGGUGAAAUGCGUAGAUAUCGGGAAGAACACCGAAGGCGAAAGCGACUCUG